UCAGUUCGGAUUGUAGUCUGCAACUCGACUACAUGAAGCUGGAAUCGCUAGUAAUCGCGAAUCAGAAUGUCGCGGUGAAUACGUUCCCGGGUCUUGUACACACCGCCCGUCACACCAUGGGAGUCAGUAACGCCCGAAGCCGGUGACCUAACCGAAAGGGAGGAGCCGUCGAAGGUGGGACCGAUAACUGGGGUNAAGUCGUAACAAGGUAAC
rnacentral:rRNA from 1 species